GAGGAGCUUUCCCUUGGCCGUGGCAGCACUAGUAGCUGGGUGGGACUGAGUGCUGUGUGCUGGGUUGCUUCCAGUGUUGGUGUAGGGUAUGGAGUGCUUAUGUUGAGUGCUUAGAGGUCUGAAAGUGACCUUGAUGGCUGAACUAUUAUCAGUGCCAGUUUGGGCCUGAUUCCCAUACAGUUCCAUUACUUGGUUAAAGAAGCACAAUUUGGAUGACAUUUACAGUGUCAGGGAAACGGCGACUUAAAAAUACAGAACCUUUGCCAAUAGUUCCUGAGAUGGAAACUUCUGGGUUUAAUUGUUGUUGUUUCAGCAAGUAUUAAUCAUAUAGAAUAAUGGGUUUCAAUUGUGAAAUUUUUAUAGUUGUAUAUCAAAUGAUCAUAUUCACUUCCCCUUUCAAACCCACAGUUGUUACCACCCCCACCCCAUCCCAUUUCCCCUGGUCCCUUUCCUUUUUCAAGUGGCAUUUCUGUGGUCCUCAGAGAGAGGGCCUUUGCUGCUCUUGCUGCUCUCCUGGGAAUAUGCAGUGGGAUUAUACACUAAGAGCCACACCACCGCCAUCGUUAAACACAGGAGAUCAGAGACAAAUUGACGUCUUCACUCCUAGUCCUGGAGGAAAACACUGAUGGCUCCCCACGGAUUGCGCUGAAGUCGUGUGUGCUGGUUGGGAUUCAUUGCAUAAUUGGGAAGUGUGGAAAGACUGGGUGGGAGUCGGGAUUAAAUGGAGUCAGCCACAGGUUGGAAACAGCUAAAGCUUGGUGGAUGUGGACUUUUAUUAUUGUGUUGGGUUGCACUUUGAUUAGAUUUGAAAUUCUCCCUUGUAAGGUUUAAAAAGAGGAUUGAACUAUUUUAACCAGUAGGUGGCACUGCACCGUUGACUUGUGAAAAGGUUGGUUGAUAAUAAAUGUGCUAACUUAUGAUAUUUAAGGUUCUAAUAUUUAGUAUUUUAUUCAAGACUUUCUUAACUGAGUGUGGUACAGCAUGCACCUAUAGAGAAUUGCCCUAACUUUGAAGCUAAUCUGGUCAAUAUAGCCAGUUCUAGACCAUCCAGGACUACAUAGUGAAACUGUCUUAAAAUCAACCAACCAACCAACCAACCAACCAACCAACCAAAAACCCAAUAACAAAAUUGAAACUCUUGUUUGUUCUUUGUAAAUAAGAUCCAACAGCUGGAAGCAUUUAUUGGUGUUUCUCAGGUCUUGUGAAGUAAUGGCAAAAUUUAGUAUUGAUAGCUAACAAAGAUAGAAUUUAGAAAUGUUUAGUAUACUAUUUGCCUUAAAUUACAAUGUCAAGCAUUAAAUUCAAACUUCACAUAAAAGCAUAAUGGAGAAUUAAAACUACAAACUCAAUACGUUUGGCUGUUUAGGAUUAGUAUAAAGAAGAAUGAAACUUCUACUAACACGCAGCUCUUUGCAAGGGAUAUGGUGUAGAAAUUCAUUUAGCUUUUUAGUACAACAGAGAAAAUAGUAAGGAAUGUGAUGGUGGUUAUAGAAUCUGAUAACAAAUUUUAAAAUCUUUUAGUUAAAUCUUGGUGUGGUGUUGCAUACCUAAAAUCUCAGAACUUUAAGGCAGGAGAAUUACAAAUCGGAAGACUCAAAACAUUAAAAAAAUUUUUUUUAAAAAUUAGUUCAAUAAAAGUCUUUUGUAGGUUGGUAGAGGCAACUGAAGCAGGAAACCUGUGGUAAGCGUAUGGAGUGUGGUCUGUGAAGCCUGUUUAGCAUUCUGUCAGGAUCCUGGCCAUAGAGGCCACAUGUAUGGCCUGGUGUGUACCAUCUGAUAGGAACCAGUAGUACAUUUCCUCUUGAUCCAUCCUAUGUGAGAGUCACCUUGGUAGCCUGACCUGGCCCUGUUUCUUUCAUUUACAUUGGGAUGCUUUUCUUGGUACAGCUGUUGUAGAUGUUCAACAUUCCAGCAACACCCCACUGUCCAAACACUGGCAGCUAAGACCUUAAGUCUUGGUGCUGCAGAGAAGACACCCAUGCUCAUUGUCUGACUGUCUUGUGCUGCAAAGAAAACACUCAUGCUCAUUGGCUGACUGUCUUAGGGCUGCACACUCAUUGACUGACUGUCUUAGCGCUGCAAAGAAGACACUCAUGCUCAUUGGCUGACUGUCUUAGCGCUGCACACUCAUUGACUGACUGUCUUAGUGCUGCAAAGAAGACACUCAUGCUCAUUGGCUGACUGUCUUAGGGCUGCACACUCAUUGGCUGACUGUCUUAGUACUGCAAAAAAGACACUCACACUCAUUGGCUACUGUAUCUUUGUUCAAGCCCCAAAUCUUGUGCUUUUUCAAUUCACCAUACUUAAUCUUAUUCCAUAUAACAGAUGUAUAAGCUGGAUAGAUCAGGUGAAUGAAAGGCAGUCUGCUCACCUAAGGGAACAUACACCAUACUCCCCUCUGUUGUAGGAAUAAACACUUUAAUUGACCUUCAGUGCAUAUUAUAGACUAUCCCGGUCUCCAUGACUCAUCCUAGACAGGCCAAUGUAUCUUUAGGACAACCUCAGUUAUAGAAAUCAAUAAAAUCUGUAUCUCUAAUCAAGGUAUUAAUUUUUGAGACACAGCAGUUCUUGUGUUAUAUUUACAUCCUUGGUGAGAUAUACCUUGUAUACCCUGGGGCCCCACAAAAGAGUUUAAACCUUCUGAUGAGCACCAAGCGAAGUGAAGCUUGAAGUUCUCAGUGAAAAAUUAUUUUCUAGAAGGCUAACCCCUUAAUGUAUUGUUUUGCUUAAAAUCAUUGCAACUUCUUUUUCAGGAAGUAGACACAUUUCUUCAGAAUACUAACUAAAUUUCUAAGUGCUAUAAAUAAGGCAGUGAAAUCACAGUCUAUUUGGGAACAUGACAUCAAUUUUCUCUGAGAUUCCUUUCACAUUAAAACAGCCAUUCUUGGGCUGGUGAGAAGGUGCCUGCUGCCAAGCCUAAUGAGCUGAGCUGUGUCAGAGGUACUCAUGUGGUGGAAGGAGAGAAACUUCUCCUGAAGGUUGUCCUCUGACCUGCCCCCAUGCUGCACAUUAGCACAUAAGACACACAGUGUAAAAUAAGAUGUUGACAUCUACUCUCCAUUAGCCAUCGCAAUAACUUUUUAUUUGUAAAAUUCCUUAAAAACUAAUUAUGUUUCUAACAUAACCAAUAAAAUAGGAAGACAAUUCUUAUCACCACCAUUAAUGCAACAGUAACUUGACCUCAACAGUUUUGACAGUCUAGGCAUAGAGAUCUUUGUUGUGUGGCUUCUCAUAUGUAUUACUGCUGUGUGUUAGUCAUGCUAACCCAAACAUUUCCAGACAUUUGCAAAAAAUCAUCUCAGGUAGGUAUACUUAAUUUAAUACCAAGUCUGAAAUGUCUAUUAUAUUUUUUAUAUUUAUUCAGUGUGAGUUAAUUGUGUGCAUUGUUCUGAAUUCUUGAGUUGUAGCAAAGUCUUGCCAUAUAGAAUUUACAGUUAAGUCAGGAGCGAUGGGGAGUAGAGAGCAAUGAAGAGGUGUGGUAUUGAGGCAAGGCCUCUCUGAGGAGAUGGCACUCAGUCCCUGAGCCUUGAAAUGUGGUGAAGGAGGAAUUCAAGCUCACACUCUGUGCUGGAAGCUGCUGCUGCAGAAACAUGAUGGAGGUGGGAUGUCGGUGUUGCCAGGGAACGGGGGAACAAGGUGCAGGCAGAGGCCCAGUGCUGAGGGCGAGUCUGCACAGGACUGUAAUGCCUUUCAAUCUGUAAGAAGCACUUUUUGAGCAUAGACUAGUGUGGAGUUUGAGGUAAUAAAAAUGAAAGAGUAGAGACUACGAAAGGAGGGAGGCAGCAGACUGAUGAGCUGUUGAGUCAUGGGGUGGAGCCUGGGGCCUGGCUGGUGGAGGAGCUAAGCCUUGGAGUCUCUGGUGGGUGUGGCAUGGUUGGUUUCAGAAGAAUGGUAGUGCAAAAUUAGGGCAAACUUCUUAGGAGAAAUUUGAUUAGGAAAAGUUCAAAAGUUCAAAAGAGAAUAGUAAGUGAGAUAAAAUGAGUAUUGAAAACCCCUAGAAGAAAGGUGUGUGUGUGUGUGUGUGUGUGUGUGUGUGUGUGUGUGUGUGUUAGUUAUAGACAUGCAUUUGUGUACAGGUGUGUAUAUAUGUUCAAGUUUGUGUGUGCACAUAUACAUGUAUGUGUGAUUUAACUUAAAACAUUAAGGUAUAGAAAACCUAAAAUGUGCUUUUAAAUAUAUUUCAGCUGAUGUACAUGCGGAUGAAAGUAAUCCAAUUGAAAAAGCUUUGGUGGGUGAUACAGACAACAUAACUGCAGAGGCAAAGCUCUGUGUCUGCAACAGUGGACUGGCUGCAGAGUGCUGGACCCAGCUGCUCAUAGGGUGCAGGGCUUUGUGUCUGCAGCAGUGGACUGGCUGCAGAGUGCUGGGCCCAUCUGCUCAUAGGGUGCAGGGCUGUGUGUCUGCAGCAGUGGACUGGCUGCAGGGCGCUGGGUGUGGCGGCCCACAGGGUGCAGGGCUCCAGAAUUGCUCACAGGUUCUCAUGAGAUGCUUCUGGUUCUUCCAGUGAAGCAAGGAGUAAUAUCUUAGGAACUGUAUGUUCUCUCUCAGCCUGCUUAUGGUCAGUAAGUGGGAGGCAAGUGUGUGUGCAGCGUGUGAAACAGAGUGUGAGAUCAUGAGGGGAAACAAGAUAAGAUGCAUGUAAUGCAGCGGUGGAAAGGAGAGUGCGAGCAAGCGCGUGUUUUGGGGGAGCACAGGCACAGUGCCAGAGAUGUAUGGAAAAAAGAGGAAAGAAGAGUAAAACUAAUUUUUCUUUGAAAAUGACAUUUCAGAAUAAGGCUUAAUAGGUUUUUUUCUAAAUAAUAAAACUUUGAAGUCUUUGAUAUGAUCAAGGCACAGAGUAAGAUAUGUAAACGCAUGUAUCCUGCCAUUCACUACCCAACAGUGUGGAGUGGGGGCAAGCAUUGAAAAUGUAUUUUCCUUUAUGUUGCAUAAACAUUGACUGAGCAAUGUGACGUUGGUAAGCUAUAGAAUCUGUGGAACAUCAUUGUGUUAUGUGUUAUGCUACUGACCACAGUUGUAUAGCACAUUGCUGUAGUACCAUAGUCACAUGAGCUGGUAUAGUUGCAGUAGGCAGAGAAGCCUGGUUCUAGGUUGUGAUAGGUACAUGUAUAGAAAGAAGCCUGUAUGGGUCUAAAUGGAAGUAGUGUGAGUCUGUGACCCAGGAUAGAGGGAAGGGCAGGAGGCUGCCAAGCUCUGGGCAGUAAACCUGCUGACAUGGGUUGGUGGACCCCAUAGAAUUGUAAUGUUAACAUGCUAAAGGCAGACAGUUGGGAUCAGUUCUUGGAGGUCAGAGAACAGGAUUCAUGAAAUUGAGGUUUAGGGAGCUGUACAGUAGCAGGCACUCAGCUUUUGUGAUGUCUACAAUAGGUCAGUAA